rnacentral:rRNA from 1 species
AUCGGCCCGAAAGCGCGGGAUCUAUACGUGAGCAGAGCAGUAUCAAGGCUCGAACCGGUGGUUGUAGCAACGCCCUCGGAAGACUUGCGUAUAGCAGUGAAAUGCCAAUCAUCCGCGCAGAUAGCUGGUUCACAACGAAAGCUAUGUUAGUAGCGCCUCCCUUCUAGUAUGAGCACACAGUAGAG